CGAACACAUGCAAGUCGGACGGUAAGGCCCCUUUCGGGGGUACACGAGUGGCGAACGGGUGAGUAACACGUGAGGAACGUGCCCUUGACUUCGGUAUAGCUCCAGGAAACUGGUGGUAAUCCCGAAUAUGAGCCUGGCCUGCAUGGGUUGGGUUGGAAAGCUUUAUGCGGUCAGGGAUCGUCUCGCGGCCUAUCAGCUUGUUGGUGGGGUAAUGGCCUACCAAGGCAGCGACGGGUAGCCGGCCUGAGAGGGUGACCGGCCACAUUGGGACUGAGAUACGGCCCAGACUCCUACGGGAGGCAGCAGUGGGGAAUAUUGCACAAUGGGCGCAAGCCUGAUGCAGCAACGCCGCGUGCGGGAUGACGGCCUUCGGGUUGUAAACCGCUUUCAUCCAUGACGAAGCGCAAGUGACGGUAGUGGGAGAAGAAGCACCGGCUAACUACGUGCCAGCAGCCGCGGUGAUACGUAGGGUGCGAGCGUUGUCCGGAAUUAUUGGGCGUAAAGAGCUUGUAGGCGGUUGAUCACGUCGGAAGUGAAAUUC
rnacentral:rRNA from 1 species